ensembl:snRNA predicted gene, 23865
ACUCCCCUUCAGCAGAGCAUCCACUACAGCUGGAACAAUACAGAUCACCAUGGCCCCUGCGCAAGGAUGACACUGUUGGGUAUUGUUCCUGGAGUAA